CGGAACGUGCCUAGUAGUGGGGGAUAACUACUCGAAAGAGUAGCUAAUACCGCAUGAGAUCUACGGAUGAAAGCAGGGGACCUUCGGGCCUUGUGCUACUAGAGCGGCUGAUGGCAGGUUAGGUAGUUGGUGGGGUAAAGGCUUACCAAGCCUGCGAUCUGUAGCUGGUCUGAGAGGACGACCAGCCACACUGGGACUGAGACACGGCCCAGACUCCUACGGGAGGCAGCAGUGGGGAAUUUUGGACAAUGGGCGAAAGCCUGAUCCAGCAAUGCCGCGUGCAGGAUGAAGGCCCUCGGGUUGUAAACUGCUUUUGUACGGAACGAAAAGCCUGGGGCUAAUAUCCCCGGGUCAUGACGGUACCGUAAGAAUAAGCACCGGCUAACUACGUGCCAGCAGCCGCGGUAAUACGUAGGGUGCAAGCGUUAAUCGGAAUUACUGGGCGUAAAGCGUGCGCAGGCGGUUUUGUAAGACAGUGGUGAAAUCCCCGGGCUCAACCUGGGAACUGCCAUUGUGACUGCAAGGCUAGAGUGCGGCAGAGGGGGAUGGAAUUCCGCGU
rnacentral:rRNA from 1 species